AUGGCCAUGGCUCUAAUAGGACUGGGUGACCAGUCCCUCAUGCCUGCCACCCGCACCUAUGGUGGUUUGCCUGCAAUCCUUACCCGCACAAUGCUUCUGUUUUUCCAGCUGGCAUGGCCUCUCUACAAAAACUUUCCUUCUUUCUAGGUCAUGGCUUCAGUGAUGCUAAAUGUGCGCAUGCAGCUUCAGAUUAAACUGCACUGA
rnacentral:lncRNA from 1 species